CCGGGCAUUGAUGUCCAUUUUUUUCUAAAUAUACCAGUGACGUUACUUUUUGUGGCGUUGAUUCGUGUUACAAAUACACACUUCGUUAUUCUAUUAUGCUGUUUUUGUGUACUGUCUAAAUCAUUUUAGUUGUUAUUCGGAGGUUAACAUGUCGAAAUAUACUAUCAUAUUGUUUAUUUUUGUAUUUCUCUGUCUUUGGUGUUUUUUAAUUUAUUUGUACUCUGUUUCCGUUAUGUACUAUUGUGGUCCUUUAAGUGGUAUAUUUAAGAUUGCCACAAAACCAGGUUCAAACCACCAUCUUUUUCUCAAAUUGUCCUGUAUCAAGUCAGGAAUAUUACAGUUGUUAUAUAAUAGUUUGUUUCUAUGAAUUUUGCAUUGUUGUUUGCUUUAGUUAGUUGUCUUCUGUAUUCUGUUAUUUCGUUAUUUUCCUCUUUCACUUGAUCAUGUUGAUGUGUUUCCCUCCUUUAGUUUUUAACCCAAUUUUUUUCUCUCAAUCUUUUGAACAGCUACUAUUGUUGCCUUUAUGUAUAAAAGUCGCAUUAAAUUUCAUUAUAUAUACAUUGAAGCUAUUUCUCAUAGAUACUUAAAUGUGUC
rnacentral:lncRNA from 1 species